rnacentral:rRNA from 1 species
UACGUAGGGUCCGAGCGUUGUCCGGAAUUACUGGGCGUAAAGAGCUCGUAGGUGGUUUGUCGCGUUGUUCGUGAAAACUCACAGCUUAACUGUGGGCGUGCGGGCGAUACGGGCAGACUUGAGUACUGCAGGGGAGACUGGAAUUCCUGGUGUAGCGGUGGAAUGCGCAGAUAUCAGGAGCACACCGGUGGCGAAGGCGGGUCUCUGGGCAGUAACUGACGCUGAGGAGCGAAAGCGUGGGGAGCGAACAGG